rnacentral:rRNA from 1 species
UACGAAGGGGGGCUAGCGUUGCUCGGAAUUACUGGGCGUAAAGCGCACGUAGGCGGCUCGUUAAGUCGGAGGUGAAAUCCUGGAGCUCAACUCCAGAACUGCCUUCGAUACUGAUGAGCUCGAGUUCGGGAGAGGUGAGUGGAACUGCGAGUGUAGAGGUGAAAUUCGUAGAUAUUCGCAAGAACACCAGUGGCGAAGGCGGCUCACUGGCCCGAUACUGACGCUGAGGUGCGAAAAGCGUGGGGAGCAAACAGGG